CCCAGAGCCCACGUGUCUGAGUCUCUGCCAGUGGAGGGAGAGAGGCUGCCUGCCAGCACGGCCAUGAAGGAAACAGCAGGGCUCACCCUACCUCUGCUCACUGACAGAUAGUUCUGGAUUAAUGGCCAAGUGGUGGACAAGGGAAACAGGGAACGCUGCGAGCUGUUGCGCCCCCUAGAGAUGCAGGAAGGUGGCCUCCCUGGAGCUCAGUAUCCUGGGUGUGUAGGUGCUCUUCCAGCCUGUUUCCGGAACCGACCACAGGAUGGCGCUGCCGCACCGGUUGGGGGUUGAAGGAGACGGCAGGAGCUUGGCAGAGCGCGCUUCUGGGUGUGAUGUAGAGAGCGGUGUGAUGCCGGGCGGCUCACAGCUCGGCCUUCUGGGGCUGCACUGGAGGGGAAAGUUGGGCCGCGCUGCUGGUAGACUCACGCUCGCUUUUUAAUGCCACUGUUGCUUUGUCACUGCAGUUUAGAGGAUUACGCAUUGCUCCAGUUGGCACGAUUCGAAAGUAUUUGUUAGUGCAGAUCUGUUUGGGGCAUUUCUUUGUUGUGUUUGUUGAGGACACGGUGAGACUGCUGUUCAUUGAGGAGGAGGUACCUGGUCUGUGAUAUUUUGUAACCCUGAUUGAAUUGAAAAUGGAAAAAUAAUGAUAUAAUGCCACACCCCACAUUUAUUUUUACUUUUGCUUCAUAAAAGCGCUCUCUGGGUUCCAGAGCUGGGAGAGGCGAGUCCCUUGGCCCCAUCAGGGAGAGAUUAAGUGCCUGUUUUGUUGUGUGGAAAAUAAGCCUCCUGGACUUUGGCCCCGGAGCACUCAGGCCUGGGCACCCUGAGCGUAGUUUUACAGCCGUACAGUUUGACGCACGCUGUUCAGCGCUUGCACUGCGAGCAUCACGUAACGCCCAGCGGAUACACGCCCCCGCUCCCCACGCCGGGCUUUGCCUCCCCGCUCGCCCUGUCCCUGCAGCGGGCCCGUUUAUGAGCUGUGGGGAUGCAGUGGGGGUGUGAAGUCAUGCUCUUCUUCCUCACGCUGGCUCUCUCCAGGUCAGGGUGAAGGUCAGGGUGCUGCGUGUCAGCUGGGGAGGCACCCGUGUCGAUGGCUCUUCAGCAUGCACGCUAACACUGCUAAUAACUUAGCGCAUUGCCACUGCGGCCUAUAACUGAGCAGCCACAAACCUGGCAGUGUUAUGGGGACCAUCCGCCAUUCUAACUGGUGGAGGGAGUGUAUUAGGUGUAUUUUGGCUCGAUACUGUAAAUGAAUUGUAAAUGAAACAUCAUGAAUAGAUUAUUUUUCCCGGUAACUGUCGUGUACUCAUGUACACGGCUCUCUGCCUGACGUGCUUGUCCUGGCCGUCUGUGCGGUACACUGAUGUUGUUAUUGUUUCUGACAGCAGCGGUGCUGCGGUGUUUCGCCUUGCCGUUCUCGUAUCCUCUCCGUACGGCCGUGCAUUGAUCGCUGUUCUUCACUCGGUCUCAUGAGGCCUGCAGACCUCCGUUAGCGAUGGGAGUUCGGCUGCGUUUCCUGUCGAAGCGAAUGCACUUCUACAACGUAUUCACCCGUUUCAUCGAGGUGCCGGGUCUCGCGCCCGGCUGUUCUCAGCCACUAUUGACCACUCGCGCUCCGUAACUGAUGCAGGGCGACCCCACACUCAACCCUUUGUCUCCCUCCCUGUCAGUGUUUCCUUCCCUGCCCCCUCCCUGCUCCUCCCUCUCUCCCUCCUUCCUUCCUGUGCGCUUUCCUUUCUUCUUCAAUCCGUCCCCCUGUCCUUCCCAAAAAGUCGGGGGUUGGGAGAGGUGCUGACCCCUGCCCUCAGGAUUGGGGGGAGAGCCCGGGGCACAGGAAGUGGCGUAGCGGGAAUGAGCUUAUGUUGCGCCUUCAACAAGGCUGGACAGCACUGCCAUUUUAUGGGCUUUUACUGCUGAAAAUGUUCCCUGUUCACCCUCUAAGCGCUGCAUUGUGCUGCUGACCGGUGGGGAGGGUCACCAUGUUGGCUCUGUGGCUGGGUGUGCAUCUCUAGCCCCCCGCUCCGGAGGACCAUUUCAUUUUCAUUUCUGUAAUCAUUUCUUAUGAUUACGCAUGGUGAUGCCGCUCUAAACAUUCACUCCACCGGUCCCCACCCCAGUGUCUCACCAAUCAAUUUUAUAACUUAGUUAUUCUGGACUAUUUCCCGGUCAGAUAGACAGAUGGACAGACGAGGCAGAAGCAGCCAAGACAGGCUAAAAUGGCUGACGUAUAUCUGUAGACAAGGAUAGGACGACAGAAAGACAAAGCACACGGACAAAC